rnacentral:snoRNA from 1 species
AUGCACAUUUCAUUGACCUGCUUUUGUUACCAGUGACGAGCAGUGUUAUUUCUGAUGUGCUAAAGAAAUAGUUGAAGGCUAAUUAGCAGCAUAGCUAUAUGUAGUUACUGCUGCCAGUCUCCUUCAUACAAAG